rnacentral:rRNA from 1 species
UACGGGGGGAGCAAGCGUUGUUCGGAUUUACUGGGCGUAAAGGGCGCGUAGGCGGCCAGCACAAGUCAGUUGUGAAAUCUCCGAGCUUAACUCGGAAAGGUCAACUGAUACUGUGCGGCUAGAGUGCGGAAGGGGCAACUGGAAUUCUUGGUGUAGCGGUGAAAUGCGUAGAUAUCAAGAGGAACACCUGCGGCGAAGGCGGGUUGCUGGGUUGUUACUGACGCUGAGGUACGAAAGCGUGGGGAGCAAACGGG